rnacentral:rRNA from 1 species
AGGAUGAACGCUGGCGGCGUGCUUAACACAUGCAAGUCGAACGAUGAAGCCGGAGCUUGCUCUGGUGGAUUAGUGGCGAACGGGUGAGUAACACGUGAGUAACCUGCCCUUGACUCUGGGAUAAGCGUUGGAAACGACGUCUAAUACCGGAUACGACGCGCGAAGGCAUCUUCUGCGCGUGGAAAGAAUUUCGGUCAAGGAUGGACUCGCGGCCUAUCAGCUAGUUGGUGAGGUAAUGGCCCACCAAGGCGACGACGGGUAGCCGGCCUGAGAGGGUGACCGGCCACGACUGGGACUGAGACACGGCCCAGACUCCUACGGGAGGCAGCAGUGGGAAUAUUGCACAAUGGGCGCAAGCCUGAUGCAGCAACGCCGCGUGAGGGACGACGGCCUUCGGUUGUAAACCUCUUUUAGUAGGAAGAAGCGAAAGUGACGUACUGACGAGAAAAGCACCGGCUAACUACGUGACCAGCAGCCGC